rnacentral:lncRNA from 10 species
GCCAGGGAGGGAGGUGUCGGAGGGCGGGCCCCGCGCGGUGCUAGGGUUCCGUCUGGACUGGCGGUGGUGGGUCCCAACCGGCGGUACCGGGUUCCUUCCCGACCAGCGGUGCUAGAAAACGCCUCUUCUCUCAGACACAUCGUUAUCUGCCAAUUCUUCGCAGACGUAGAGAACGGACUGCAGAGUUAAUAAACGUCGAGGGGAAGCUUUGAUGCGCCCCAUUUGGCCCUGAGAGAUGCCACGUGAUCGUCAUUUUAAAUCCUGUACGUGUCCCCGUGGACGUGGAAACCUGAAAUUAAUUUCAGUAGCAAGCUUUGUGAAUUGUAGGGAUUUUUUUUCAUAAGGUGUCUUUUUUGUAAUUGCCCCUCCCCUCCCCCACCCUUUGUUUUGGCUGCAGAGCGCCAUCUCUGCAGUCUCCCCACGCCGGGUUCAGUCAGGCGAAGUUGCGUUAUCUGUGAUGUGUUGUAACAAAAAGCGUUUAUCUUUGAAACACUAAGGCAAGUAAUGAGAAGAGUGAACUAUAUUUGACAAAGCCUUUUUAUUUUUGUCAUUACUUUUUUUUCCAAUGUGGAAAUAAUUUUUCUCUCCACCAACUGGAUUUCCUCUUUUGCAGACAAUUAAAGAAUUCUGUCAUCCCCACUGGGUUCUGUCUUUUCUACCGCACUUGUCCAGUACAGCUACAUAAGGAGGCUUCUCAGCAGAGGAGCCUGGGGUGUUGAACCAGUGCCAUGAGGGAAUGAAUUAUUCAAUAGAUCGCUAGUCUCCUUUCUUAAAAUUAAAGUGUGGUGACUUGCAGAAAAGCAUCUGUGUCUAAAUGUCAUCUUCGUGUUCUAGCACUCGGUUUCUUUAUGCCUUUCAGUUCCUGGGCUUCCCGAUGGACUCGAGUUUUUACUAUGUGAGCAUCCCGGUGCCUGCACAGCAAGGACUCUCAUUGGGUUCCACACGUGCUGCGCAGAUCCCUGACGCAGCGUUCACUGAACCUCAACUGCAGGAGCUUCAUUCCUGAGGACGCUGUUACCAAGAAUGACUUGCCUCUUGAAGAAUGAGUUUGCAAAGCCGGCAGUUAGAUUGCUGAUGUCCAAAGUAAGUAUGUGUAGCAUCACUAAAGAGAAAAUUCAGGAUUCCUGGAAAACAGUUAUGGGCUCUCUGCAGUGUUAUUUUUGUAAUAAAAAACAUAUAGCAUAUGUGAAAUACCUACUGGGUGAUGCAGGACACAUAGAAGGCUCGAAAUUAAUGUGAAUCAUUCUCGUUUUUCUGACUGUCAUUAAAAGUCCCCAUUUGUAUUAUGUAUGAGUGGUAUAUCAAUAUCUAAACUACACUUUAUUGUAGGUCCCAACCAACAUUAGUUUAUUGACAAAUGUUUAAGAGCAGCCAAAAAUUCAUAGAAUACCUAUGAUUCUUAAAUCAUGAACACUCCCAUAACUGGUAUAUGUUUAGGACAUGAAAAUUUCCAGGCUGACAAAUAAUUUCGCUGUCAUCGGUCAAGACUCCAGGAUGAUAUUCUGAGCCAUAUGUUAAUUUUGAUAACCACCUAGAACAAUAAAAGGUAAACAUGCUACCAUCUUCUAUUCUCAUUGCACCACUGGAUUCUGGUACAUCUAAAAAUUGUACUUAAAUGAUAUCCAAGAAAUGCUGUAAAAAACAAAAUAGGGCCGGGCGCAGUGGCUCACACCUGUAAUCCCAGCAUUUUGGGAGGCCAAGGCGGGCAGAUCACGAGGUCAGGAGAUCAAGACCAUCCUGGCUAACACGGUGAAACCCCGUCUCUACUAAAAAUACAAAAAAAAAAAAAAUUAGCCGGGCAUGGUUGUGGGUGCCUGUAGUUCCAGCUACUCAGGAGGCUGAGGCAGGAGAAUGACGUGAACCCGGGAGGCGGAGGUUGCAGUGAGCUGAGACCGCGCCACUGCACUCCAGCCUGGGCGACAGAGCAAGACUCUGUCUCAAAAUAAAUAAAUAAAUAAAAGAAUGGGCUUUUCUGUUAUUAAUUCCAUUUUAUACAUGGUGAGACUGAAAUGCAAGAUAAAGGACUGGACUGAAGCUAAACAAACCUGCACUGGGCGAGGUUGAAAAAGACCUUUUUAAUCUAUAAGUCGGUUUUUGAAAAUUCAAGUUUCUACUUUAUAAUUUUAGUUUUCCUUUUAAACGUAUAUUAUUGUUAGUUGCACUGUUCAAAAAGUUUUACAGCUUCUAUUUCAAUCAGCACUGGUAUACUAAUAUUUUUAAGUAUCUCCUAUCUAAAACCAAAAUCUACGUAAAACCUAAAAGUACCAGGUAAUAGAGGACAACAGAGCAAGACUGUCUCUUAAAAAAAGAAGUAUCACAUAAUAGGAAUAAAUAUGAGGACAGAAAGUAAUAAUAUUUUUGAAUUUCUGAUUAAACUUUGCACUUACUUUAAAAUUUUUUUCGAAAUAUUAUGAAAACCAGGUUCUGAGACCAGCCACAUGAAAUAAACCUUUUCCUGCCCCAAUUUUCACAGCCUCUAGAAAAUAGUAGGUACCAGGGAAAAGAUUAAUACAUCUAAAAAAAAAAAGAUACAAAUAUAUCAACUAUGUUUAACUAUAUCAACUAUAUUUAGUACCCUAGGUCAUUUAAUUUUCUAGCCACCAAUAAAUUCCAUAUUUUAUUAAAUUAAUCAAAUUUUGAAAAGUGUCAAUAUUACUGUAUAAAUCAUCUUACAAGUCCUUUUAGUAGAUAUAUCAAUUUAGAGGAUGGUCUUUAGCAAAAAAAGUAAAGGAAAAGGAUUUAAUAAAGGUCCAAUAGCAGACCUUCUAGGGCAGGCAGCCUUCUAUAGUAGCCCAUGCAUGUGAAAGUUAAUCUAAUUAGUUGAUCUAUAAAGUUAAAUAACCAAACUCUCCUUUGCUUAACCCAUUGCUAGAAAGGCCAGUGUUGUUAAUUUCAUUUUUUAAACAAACAAGCAAAAAAAAUUCUAGAGGAUGAGUUUUUCAUAAGUAGGGUAUGUGCUACUUUAUUGGAAAAUGAAGAAAUAUAUCUUUCAACUCUGCUUCCUUCAUUGCUUUCCCGUGUUCCUAAUAUUUAGUCACAUUUUAGGUUAGAACUUUCAGGAAGUGAGUUUUUACACAGAAAUUAGUGCUAUAAACAGCCCUUAAAAUGGGAAUUUAAUCGUACUUAUUUAAAAUAUAUAUGUAUAUAAUCUUACCAACCCAGAAAGACAUGUUCUCUGGCAUUUUAUAAACUAAGAUGCUACUGGAAGGAAAAAGCUAAAUCUGAAAUACACAAACAACAUAUUUACACUGUGAUAUGGUUUAGAUCUGUAUGCCAAAGCUGAAUCUCAUGUCAGAUUGUAAUCUCCAAUGUUGGAGAUGGGGCCUAGGAGGAGGUGAUUGGAUUGGAUCAUGGGGGCGGAUUUCCUCCUUUGGUGCUAUUCUGGUGAUGGAGUUCUCACUAAAUCUUGUUGUUUAAAAGUGUGUGGUACCUCCCUUCCCCAGCUUCCUCCUGUUCCAGCCAGGUAAGACAUGUCUGCUUCCCCUUUGCCUUCUGCCAUGAUUGUAAGUUUCCUGAGGCCUCCCCAGCCAUGCUUCCUGUACAGCCUGCAGAACCAUGAGCCAAUUAAACCUCUUUUCUUUAUAAAUUACCUAGUCUCAGGUAUUUCUUUAUAGCAAUGCAAGAAUGGAAUGGACUAAUACACACUGAAUGCAAAGAAAUGAAAUGGUUGUGUGUGUGUGUGUGUGUGUGUGUGUGUGUGUGUGUAUGGAAGGUAUUAGAA